UAUACAGAUGAACAGUAACAUUUUCUCUCUCCUCUACUCACAACCACUUUUUAUACCCUUUGUAAUAUAAAAACCUCUCCUCACAUAAUUUAAUGGUUAGGAUGUGAAUGCUCUAAAUGACUCAAACGUCACUCCAAUUAGUAAUACAAUCAAUUAAUCAGAAUGGACGAUUGGAUGACAGCAACCCUAAUUCUCCCGGUGAAGAAGACGAACCGUACAAAUGAUUUAUAUCCCGUUUCAUCAGAUUGUUAUAAAGGAGGGCUCCUCCUUCGUUCUCUCUCUCAAAUCCCCUAAUGGAGUUCUGGUUCAGUGGAGUUCAAGAGACGCCGGUGGGUGGUGCAUCCGGUGCUGGAUUUGUUUCUACGGCUAACAACGAACAGUAGCGGACCAUGACUCUAUUUUGGUGUUCUGCAAACGCUUCAUUAUUCAGUCGAUUCGUGUGAUCGUUGCCCCCUUCUUCUUCUUCUUCUUCGGUGAAAACUAUGCCAACGACUUUGAUGUUUGCUUGUUCUUUGUAACUUCUAAUGUGGUUUAAUAUAUCAGUAGAGUUGAUUUUGGUGACAGGCGCUGUUUUGUCAGCGGCAGCCUUUGAGUUUUGAUUACUCUCAAAACCGUUAAGCUUGCAUUGGCUUUACAGGACCAACUACAUUGAAUUGGAAGUUGUUUCAGAGUAGGCGUAUCCUAAUGCACUUUCAACCAUUCAAACUUCAAUUAAUGUUGCGGUAUCACGUAAUGGUCGCAAUGCAGCCUUGGUUAUUCGCUUUCAUUUUCAUGAUUGUUUCGUUCAGGUUGCAUCAACUACCCGAGUUUGAUCAGGGGAAAAGAAGCUGUCGCUGACGGUUGGUUGGGCACAAUGAACGUAGAAGGAAGCCACCUCUAUUUUUGUUAAAUGCAGACGUGGAUCGGAAAUGAUUGGUCGUGGCUUGUUCAUGAAGAAGGCUCAGCGAAGGGACGAACAAAUUUGUUGAGCUGGUUUUUUUGUAUAUAUAAAUUUACUACAAGAGUUGCAAAUAAAUAGUGUAAUGGAUACAUUCUGUAGUUCGCUUUAUAUCUACUUCAAAUGAUUGGUGGUGGCUUGUUCAGGAAA